UACAGAGGGUGCAAGCGUUGUUCGGAAUUAUUGGGCGUAAAGGGCGCGUAGGCGGUGCUGUAAGUCUGUAGUGAAAUCUCUGGGCUCAACUCAGAGUCUGCUAUAGAAACUGCAGUGCUGGAGUGUGGGAGAGGUGAGUGGAAUUCCCGGUGUAGCGGUGAAAUGCGUAGGUAUCGGGAGGAACACCUGUGGCGAAAGCGGCUCACUGGACCACAACUGACGCUGAUGCGCGAAAGCUAGGGGAGCAAACAGG
rnacentral:rRNA from 1 species